CGAGAAGUCCACUGAACCUUAUCAUUUAGAGGAAGGAGAAGUCGUAACAAGGUUUCCGUAGGUGAACCUGCGGAAGGAUCAUUGUCGAUGCCCCGAAACACGACCGCGAACACGUAACGUAAAGCCGCCGGGGAGGGGCCUCCUCCCCGGACCCGCCGGCCCCGGCCCCCCGGCCGGGCGCCGGAACACGGCGCGGACUGUCGCCAAGGAACACCGAUCUGCCCACGGCACGCCGCGCUCCGCGGCGCCGCCGGGGCCAAAGAAACAUCAAUACGACUCUCGGCAACGGAUAUCUCGGCUCUCGCAUCGAUGAAGAACGUAGCGAAAUGCGAUACGUGGUGUGAAUUGCAGAAUCCCGUGAACCAUCGAGUCUUUGAACGCAAGUUGCGCCCGAGGGACCCUCCCGAGGGCACGCCUGCCUGGGCGUUAGAAGCCCAUCAACGCCCGGUCGCCCGACCGCGUGCGGACAGUGGCCCCCCGAGCCGCAGAGGCACGGCGGGCUGAAGCGCGAGGCCGUCGACCGCGUCGGGAGCGGCAAGUGGUGGGCCACAGCGCAUGCCGACCCCGACCCGCGUCGACACACGGCCCUUCCGGACCCCACGACGAGGAGACCGUCGCCGCCGCGCGACGCCUUCGGACCGAUACCCCAGGUCAGGCGGGGCCACCCGCCGAGUUUAAGC
rnacentral:rRNA from 1 species